GAUUCCUACGGGAGGCAGCAGUAGGGAAUAUUGGGCAAUGGGCGCAAGCCUGACCCAGCGACGCCGCGUGAGGGAUGAAGGUCUUCGGAUUGUAAACCUCUUUCAGUAGGGAAGAAGCGAAAGUGACGGUACCUAAAGAAGAAGCACCGGCUAACUAUGUGCCAGCAGCCGCGGUGAUACAUAGGGUGCAAGCGUUGUCCGGAAUUAUUGGGCGUAAAGAGCUCGUAGGUCGUUUGUCGCGUCGAUUGUGAAAAUCUGAGGCUCAACCUCAGACCUGCAGUCGAUACGGGCAAACUAGAGUGUGGUAGGGGAGACUGGAAUUCCUGGUGUAGCGGUGGAAUGCGCAGAUAUCAGGAGGAACACCAAUGGCGAAGGCAGGUCUCUGGGCCAUAACUGACACUGAGGAGCGAAAGUGCGGGGAGCGAACAGGAUUAGAUACCCUGGUAGUCCGCACCGUAAACGGUGGGCACUAGUUGUGGGAACCUUCCACGGUUUCCGCGACGCAGCAAACGCAUUAAGUGCCCCGCCUGGGGAGUACGAUCGCAAGAUUAAAACUCAAAUGAAUUGACGG
rnacentral:rRNA from 1 species